rnacentral:rRNA from 2 species
GGGUGAGUAACACGUGAGUAACCUGCCCUAGGCUUUGGGAUAACCCCGGGAAACCGGGGCUAAUACCGAAUAUGACUGGCUGCCGCAUGGUGGUUGGUGGAAAGAUUUUUCGGCUUGGGAUGGACUCGCGGCCUAUCAGCUUGUUGGUGGGGUAAUGGCCUACCAAGGCGGCGACGGGUAGCCGGCCUGAGAGGGCGACCGGCCACACUGGGACUGAGACACGGCCCAGACUCCUACGGGAGGCAGCAGUGGGGAAUCUUGCACAAUGGGCGGAAGCCUGAUGCAGCGACGCCGCGUGAGGGAUGACGGCCUUCGGGUUGUAAACCUCUUUCAGCAGGGACGAAGCGUUUGUGACGGUACCUGCAGAAGAAGCGCCGGCCAACUACGUGCCAGCAGCCGCGGUAAGACGUAGGGCGCAAGCGUUGUCCGGAUUUAUUGGGCGUAAAGAGCUCGUAGGCGGCUUGUCGCGUCGACUGUGAAAACCCGUGGCUCAACUGCGGGCUUGCAGUCGAUACGGGCAGGCUAGAGUUCGGUAGGGGAGACUGGAAUUCCUGGUGUAGCGGUGAAAUGCGCAGAUAUCAGGAGGAACACCGGUGGCGAAGGCGGGUCUCUGGGCCGAUACUGACGCUGAGGAGCGAAAGCGUGGGGAGCGAAC